UAGAAGUAUUAAUUUCUUUUAAAAAAAAGUUACUGACCCCGUAACUUCUGCUCAUUCUUAAUAAUAAGAAUAAAUCAUAAAUUUUCUAACUUUUUUUUUUUAAAAUACAGUCUGAAUUUAAACUUUCAAAAGUAUAUGCAAAUAAAUCGACAGUAUUUUUCUGCGACUGCUCUGCAAUCAACACUCUUUCUUUUUCUGUCUCCCACACACUUUGUUCUCAUUUUCUUAGUGAGAGGACUGAGGAGGUGGAUGCCUCUCUAAGCGCAGGAAGGUUAAACAAACAACUGUUUAAGUGCUGCUCAAGUCAGUGGUGCAGAAACGGUCUGUACCAGCUCAGCACAAAAUCAGGUCUCCAUUACCAAACACUAAUACACUCUACAUGUACAUGUGUGUAUAAUGGCUCCUAAGCAGGGUGACACCAAAAUGACAGACAAACUGUUUAGAGAGUACUCACGCACAGUUUCAGCACAAUUUGGUUACAUGGAGAACAUUUGUUUAAAACUACUUGUUUAUACAGUUCACUCGCUACAUGUAACGGGUAUGGAAAUUAAUGUUCAUUUCAUUUAUAGAAUUACACAAAAACUGUUCAAAAUGUAUACCUGAAUAUGUAUGUCUGUGUGUGCACUUUCCCCUUUAAAUUUCUGACGGAAGAAUUGAUUUUAAUUUCCUGUCUUUGCGCCUCCUCUUCCCUUUCUGCGCUGUCUGUGCAUGGGAGAGAAAAGACAAGGGCGAAAAACACACUGUAAAAGACUUGUGUUAUGUUUAACAGUAAAUGAAGAACCGAC